AUUGAACGCUAGCGGGAUGCUUUACACAUGCAAGUCGAACGAGUGGCGGACGGGUGAGUAAUAUAUCGGAACGUGCUCUAUAGCGGGGGUUAACUACUCGAAAGAGUGGCUAAUACCGCAUACUAUUCAAUCAGCGGAUAUUGGAUUAUCUAUUUGGUGGGGUAAAGGCUCACCAAGGCAACGAUCAGUAGCUGGUUUGAGAGGACGACCAGCCACACUGGAACUGAGACACGGCCCAGACUCCUACGGGAGGCAGCAGUGGGGAAUUUUGGACAAUGGGGGAAACCCUGAUCCAGCCAUCCCGCGUGUAUGAGAAGGCCUUCGGAUUGUAAAGUACUUUUGGCAGAGAAGCGGUAUCUGCAGAAUAAGCACCGGCUAACUACGUGCCAGCAGCCGCGGUAAUUC
rnacentral:rRNA from 1 species